UGGGGAAUUUUGCGCAAUGGGCGAAAGCCUGACGCAGCAACGCCGCGUGAGUGAUGAAGGUCUUCGGAUCGUAAAGCUCUUUCGGCUGGGACGAAAACGGUCUGGCGAAUAACCAGGCCCUUGACGGUACCGGAAGAAGAAGUACCGGCUAACUCUGUGCCAGCAGCCGCGGUAAUACAGAGGGUGCAAGCGUUGUUCGGAAUUAUUGGGCGUAAAGCGCGUGUAGGCUGCGACGUAUGUCGGGUGUGAAAGCCCUCGGCUCAACUGAGGAAGUGCGCCCGAAACUACGUUGCUCGAGUGCUGGAGAGGGUAGCGGAAUUCCCGGUGUAGAGGUGAAAUUCGUAGAUAUCGGGAGGAAUACCAGUGGCGAAGGCAAUCCCCUGGACCUGUACUGACGCUCAUGCACGAAAGCGUGGGGAGCAAACA
rnacentral:rRNA from 1 species